UACAGAGGCCUCAAGUGUUGUCCGGAUUUAUUGGGCGUAAAGCGUACGCAGGAGGUCAGGCGGGUCUCUCGGUUAAAGCCCGGGGCUCAACUCCGGAACUGUCGGAGAAACUACCUGACUAGAGGACGUUAGAGGGGAGUGGAACACAUGGUGUAGGGGUGAAAUCCGUUGAUAUCAUGUGGAACACCAAAGGCGAAGGCAUCUCCCUGGGGCGUUCCUGACUCUCAUGUACGAAAGCGUGGGUAGCGAAUGGG
rnacentral:misc_RNA from 1 species